AUCUUGUAUUGGGGUUUCAUUGUUCCCGCUGGGCCGGGCGGUUUAGUGUAAUUGCCGCCGGAGGAGGAGGCGGAGUAACCUCUGGUCAGCCGAGAAACCCCACUAUCCCGUAGCCAUAACCGCUUAAACGAUUUGGGAGGUAGUGAAGGGCAGGGAGCUGGACCUGGAGGCGCCGCCGCGACAGCAGCAGCCAUGGAGGACGAGAUGCCCAAGACUCUAUACGUCGGUAACCUUUCCAGAGAUGUGACAGAAGCUCUAAUUCUGCAACUCUUUAGCCAGAUUGGACCUUGUAAAAACUGCAAAAUGAUUAUGGAUGUAAGGACAGCUGGAAAUGAUCCCUAUUGUUUUGUGGAGUUUCAUGAGCAUCGUCAUGCAGCUGCAGCAUUAGCUGCUAUGAAUGGACGGAAGAUAAUGGGUAAGGAAGUCAAAGUGAAUUGGGCAACAACCCCUAGCAGUCAAAAGAAAGAUACAAGCAGUAAGUAUAUUUUAUGCUCUUUGAACAUUUGUUUUUAUUGUACCCAGUAGUUUUAUUGUAAAGCCUAUAAACAU
rnacentral:sRNA from 1 species